rnacentral:rRNA from 1 species
GUGGGGAAUCUUCCGCAAUGGACGAAAGUCUGACGGAGCAACGCCGCGUGAGUGAAGAAGGUUUUCGGAUCGUAAAGCUCUUUCGUCAGGGACGAACGUAUUUCUUGUAAAUAAUGAGAGAUAGUGACGGUACCUGAAUAAGAAGCCACGGCUAACUACGUGCCAGCAGCCGCGGUAAUACGUAGGUGGCAAGCGUUGUCCGGAAUUAUUGGGCGUAAAGCGCGCGCAGGCGGGAUAUCAAGUCUGUCUUAAAAGUGCGAGGCUCAACCUCGUGAGGGGACAGAAACUGGUAUUCUUGAGUGUCGGAGAGGAAAGUGGAAUUCCAAGUGUAGCGGUGAAAUGCGUAGAGAUUUGGAAGAACACCAGUGGCGAAGGCGACUUUCUGGACGAUGUCUGACGCUGAGGCGCGAAAGCUAGGGGAGCGAACGGGAUUAGAAACCCGAGUAGUCC